rnacentral:rRNA from 1 species
AGCGAACGCUGGCGGCGUGCCUAACACAUGCAAGUCGAACGUGAAAAGGGAAACCUGAGUAAAGUGGCGUACGGGUGAGUAACGCGUAGGUAAUCUACCCCAGAAUCUGGAAUAACCUGCCGAAAGGCGGGCUAAUACUGGAUAGAGCGAGGGAACUCGUAAGAGAGUUUUUCGGGAAAGGGAGCCCGCAAGGGCCUUCGUUCUGGGAUGAGCCUGCGUCUCAUUAGCUAGUUGGUAAGGUAACGGCUUACCAAGGCGAUGAUGAGUAGCUGGUCUGAGAGGAUGAUCAGCCACACUGGAACUGAAACACGGUCCAGACUCCUACGGGAGGCAGCAGUGGGGAAUCUUGCGCAAUGGACGAAAGUCUGACGCAGCCACGCCGCGUGAGUGAAGAAGGCCUUCGGGUUGUAAAGCUCUGUCGGAUGGGACGAUCAUCUUCAUAGUGAAUAGCUAUGAGGACUGACGGUACCAUCAAAGGAAGCACCGGCUAACUCCGUG